GGGUCCGGCGGGCCGCUGACCUCCCUAAAGAACCGGGGGAAAGAACUACCCGCCCACCCACCCUCCCCGGUCAGGGAGCCCGAGUCACCCGUCCGAGUGUCCGGCUUGCAGCAGCGGGUAACGGACCGUUACGUUCGCCGCGACAACCCCACACAGAUACGGCCCCCGGCCGGGACGGCAAUCCCGAUCGAGGGCCUGACCGAUCAGGAAGCAAGCACCUUCCCG
rnacentral:ncRNA from 1 species